rnacentral:lncRNA from 1 species
UUGUUCAAAAACCUGGACAUUCUGCCAAUUUGGUCAUGAACAAAUUGAAACCACACGGCCAAGGCACACGCCUGUAUCCUAUGACUGUGUCCUUCACACAGCUGAGACACAUUACCGUGUCUCUUGCCCGUGUGCAUACUACCAUGGAUACUAACUUGAAAAAUUUAGGUGCAGGGGACACACGGCUGGAUAACACGCCCAUGGGGGUGGAC